AUUAACUGUAUACGUAUACUAACUUUGACUCUGUUUAUAGUUCGAAAUUUAAUUCUGCAGCAAUGGAUAUCUAUAGUUUGAUAUGCUUCUGUGUGACUCUCUAUCUUCCAAUCACAAGUUCAGCACCAGCAGGAACCGAAUGCGCUGAUGGAUUCGUACAGUGCACGGACGGCAGUUGUGAGGCAUUUGAGGCACUCUGUGGAGAUCAAGG